rnacentral:rRNA from 1 species
UCCUACCUACGGGGCGCAGCAGUGGGGAAUAUUGCACAAUGGGGGAAACCCUGAUGCAGCAACGCCGCGUGAGUGAAGAAGUAUUUCGGUAUGUAAAGCUCUAUCAGCAGGGAAGAAGAUGACGGUACCUGAGUAAGAAGCCCCGGCUAACUACGUGCCAGCAGCCGCGGUAAUACGUAGGGGGCAAGCGUUAUCCGGAUUUACUGGGUGUAAAGGGAGCGCAGGCGGCGCGGUAAGUCUGAUGUGAAAGCCCGGGGCUCAACCCCGGGACUGCAUUGGAAACUGUCGUGCUGGAGUGUCGGAGG